UCUUUGCUAGUAUAUCGGUUAGUACACGCGCCUGUCACCUUGUACGCGCGAAAGCUGGGUUCGACUCCCAGGCAAAGAG